rnacentral:rRNA from 1 species
UACGAGGGGUGCAAGCGUUGCUCGGAAUUAUUGGGCGUAAAGGGUAGGUAGGUGGUCUCAUUUGUCUGGGGUGAAAGCCUUGAGCUUAACUCAAGAAGUGCCCCAGAAACGGUGAGACUGGAGUCUUGGAGAGGGUCGUGGAAUUCCCGGUGUAGCGGUGAAAUGCGUAGAGAUCGGGAGGAACACCAGAGGCGAAAGCGGCGACCUGGACAAGUACUGACACUCAACUACGAAAGCGUGGGGAGCAAACAGG